rnacentral:rRNA from 1 species
AGGGCACCACCAGGAGUGGAGCCUGCGGCUUAAUUUGACUCAACACGGGAAAACUCACCCGGCCCGGACACUGGAAGGAUUGACAGAUUGAGAGCUCUUUCUUAAUUCAGUGGGUGGUGGUGCAUGGCCGUUCUUAGUUGGUGGAGUGAUUUGUCUGGUUAAUUCCGGUAACGAACGAGACUCUAGCCUACUAAAUAGAUCGUCGGCUUACAAACGCCGACGAGACUUCUUAGAGGGACAGGCGGUGAUUCAACCGCACGAAACAGAGCAAUAACAGGUCUGUGAUGCCCUUAGAUGUCCGGGGCCGCACGCGCGCUACACUGAAGUGAUCAGCGUGCAUUUGUUCUCGCUCCGUGAGGAGCGAGUAACCCAAGGAACCUUCUUCGUGAUAGGGAUUGGGCAUUGUAAUUAUUGCCCAUGAACGAGGAAUUCCCAGUAAGCGCGAGUCAUUAGCUUGCGUUGAUUACGUCCCUGCCCCUUGUACACACCGCCCGUCGCUACUACCGAUUGAAUGAAUUA